GAGGGUAUAGCUUAAGUGGUAGAGCACAUGCUUAGCAUGCAUGAGGUCCUGGGUUCCAUCCCAAGUACCUCCU
rnacentral:tRNA from 1 species